rnacentral:rRNA from 1 species
UACGUAGGUGGCGAGCGUUACUCGGAGUUACUGGGCGUAAAGGGUCCGUAGGUGGCCAAUUAAGUCUGAGGUGAAAGCCUGCAGCUCAACUGCAGAACUGCCUUGGAAACUGGAUGGCUAGAGUGCAGGAGAGGUAAGUGGAAUUUGUGGUGUAGCGGUGGAAUGCGUGAAUAUCACAAGGAACACCAGAGGCGAAAGCGGCUUACUGGACUGCAACUGACACUGAGGGACGAAAGCCAGGGGAGCAAAAAGG